UACGUAGGUGGCAAGCGUUGGCCGGAUUUACUGGGCGUAAAGAGCGCGCAGGCGGUCGGUCAAGUCGAGUGUGAAAGCCCCCGGCUCAACUGGGGAGGGUCACUCGAAACUGAUCGACUCGAAGGCGGGAGAGGGAAGCGGAAUUCCCGGUGUAGUGGUGAAAUGCGUAGAUAUCGGGAGGAACCCCAGUGGCGAAGGCGGCUUCCUGGCCCGUUCUUGACGCUGAGGCGCGAAAGCUAGGGGAGCGAGCGGG
rnacentral:rRNA from 1 species